rnacentral:tRNA from 1 species
GCGACCAUGGUGAAAUCGGUAGACACGAUGGAUUCAAAAUCCAUUGCUUAAAGCAUCCGAGUUCAAGUCUCGGUGGUCGCACCA